UUAAUUUCAGUUUAUUAUUAUGCCCAAAUGAUAAAUGACUCUUGUGAAAUGAAAAUGAAAUGUUUAUGAAAAUGAAAAUGUUUAUGAAAUGAAAUGAUUGUCUGCCAAAAAUGUUUAUGUUUUACGUAUGUAUCCUAUCUGUGUUGGUUCGCCAACUUUAAAGGAAAUCCAAUUGGGAUCCUAUGCUAGACAAAGGUUGCUAGCUAGGGUUAACGUGCACACUCAUGGAGACCGCGAGUCGCUUGCGACCGGUCUUGGCGUCCGUGGUAAGGAGGCCUCAUUUCCAGCGCGUGACAGAAAGGAACAGAUAUGGAUCAUAUGAAGGAAAAUGGGUCGGCUGGCCAAUCUUAUGAAAAUGAAAGAAAUGUUUUAGUAAGCGCAUGUCUUUCAAGAAAACCCCUGUGUGUUACUGUUAUGGCAGUUCAAUUUAUAUAUGUUAUGCAUGAUGUAUUUUCGGCAUAUGUCCACUGAGUAUUUUUAUACUCAGCCCUGCAUGUAUUUCUAAAUGUGCAGGUUGAGCAGCUGAUGGAAUGGAAUGGUGUUGAGCGGGUGUUCCUUUGAUCAUUUCAAGAAAUGUAACCUUGAGUAUACAUCUUCAUAUGUAUAUCUCACACGUUUUCCGCUGCAAAACACUUUGAUUAGGAUAACUCUAUGUUAUGAAGUUGUGACACGUGAUAUUGGGUAACCCACCUUAAUCAGUUCUCCUUUAUGUGUAUGUUUUAUAAGUAUCCAAAUGAUCAUAUAUGAUCCUAGCAUUUUAUCUAUGAGUGAUAUUUCCAUAUACUUUAAUGUUAAGUAAUUGUCCAUUUCCGUUCCCACUCAUUAAUUCUCAUCCCAAGUCAUAAUCCCGGC
rnacentral:lncRNA from 1 species